GUAAAUAUAGUUUAAUUAAAACAUUAGAUUGUGAACCUAACUAUAGAAGCCUACCGCUCCUUAUUUACC
rnacentral:tRNA from 1 species